UACGUAGGGGGCUAGCGUUGUCCGGAAUCAUUGGGCGUAAAGCGCGUGUAGGCGGCUUUGCAAGUCGGGUGUGAAAGCCCUCAGCUCAACUGAGGAAGUGCGCCCGAAACUGCAGAGCUUGAGUGCCGGAGAGGGUGGCGGAAUUCCCCAAGUAGAGGUGAAAUUCGUAGAUAUGGGGAGGAACACCGGUGGCGAAGGCGGCCACCUGGACGGCAACUGACGCUGAGACGCGAAAGCGUGGGGAGCAAACAGG
rnacentral:rRNA from 1 species